AUUGAACGCUGGCGGCAGGCCUAACACAUGCAAGUCGAACGGUAGCACAGAGAGCUUGCUCUCGGGUGACGAGUGGCGGACGGGUGAGUAACGUCUGGGAAACUGCCCGAUGGAGGGGGAUAACUACUGGAAACGGUAGCUAAUACCGCAUAACGUCGCAAGACCAAAGUGGGGGACCUUCGGGCCUCACACCAUCGGAUGUGCCCAGAUGGGAUUAGCUAGUAGGUGGGGUAAUGGCUCACCUAGGCGACGAUCCCUAGCUGGUCUGAGAGGAUGACCAGCCACACUGGAACUGAGACACGGUCCAGACUCCUACGGGAGGCAGCAGUGGGGAGUAUUGCACAAUGGGCGCAAGCCUGAUGCAGCCAUGCCGCGUGUAUGAAGAAGGCCUUCGGGUUGUAAAGUACUUUCAGCGGGGAGGAAGGCGGUGAAGUUAAUAGCUUCACCGAUUGACGUUACCCGCAGAAGAAGCACCGGCUAACUCUGUGCCAGCCGCCGCAGUAA
rnacentral:rRNA from 1 species